rnacentral:rRNA from 1 species
UUGCAGUUAAAAAGCUCGUAGUCGAAUCCGGGUCCCUGUGCGCGGCCGGUCAACUAUUGACCCCUUCGCGCGCAGGGCCCAACCUUGUUGUCCCAAGGGCCCACCCUUCAUUGGGUGGCCAAGUGGCAGCAUUUUUUACUGUGAACAAAAUAGAGUGUUCAUGGCAGGCCUUUAGAUGGCUUAGAUACCUCAGCAUGGAAUAAUAGAAUAGGACUUCCGGUUCUAUUUUGUUGGUUUUUGGAGCCGAAGUAAUGAUUAAUAGGGAUAGUUGGGGGCACUCGUACUCCGUUGUCAGAGGUGAAAUUCUUG